rnacentral:rRNA from 1 species
UACGUAGGCAGCGAGCGUUGUUCGGAGUUACUGGGCGUAAAGCGUGUGUAGGCGGAUGUCUAAGUACCUUGUGAAAUCCCACGGCUCAACCGUGGAACUGCUUGGUAUACUGGAUGUCUUGAGCCAUCUAGGGGCUACCGGAACAAAUGGUGGAGCGGUGAAAUGCGUAGAUAUCAUUUGGAACGCCAAUGGUGAAAACAGGUAGCUGGGGAUGUGCUGACGCUGAGACACGAAAGCCAGGGGAGCGAACGGG